rnacentral:lncRNA from 1 species
UAAGAAACAUAAUUUAAACUAAUUCCAAUCCCCUAAACUCCUAAGUUCAUAGAUCCAAGAAUAAGUAAACUAGAUCCCAAAAAUCAGAAUUCUUUAGACCCAAACCAAUUGUGGCCCAACACAGAUUAGGCCCAAAUGAACCAGACCAGAUUACAGGUCCAAAUCAGAUCUCGGGCCCAAACCAAACCAGCCCACAAAUCCAAUCAGACCCAACUCAGCCCAAAGACAGGUCCCUAGCCCAA